ensembl:lncRNA
CUUUGACUGGUACUGCAUACCCACGCAUUUACCCUCUGAGCUGCAUUCUGUCAACCUGGCCGGCUGCCAAACUUUCAUAUGAAUGAGUCAUUGGUUGUAGACAACAGGGACGCAUAUGAGAUGGUACCCCACCUGGUGGUAACAGUCCACGGAUUUACUCUAAUGAAGAGGUGCAUGUCUGCCAUCUAGUGGAAAAUAUGAUUGUGAUCCAGUGCACCUAACAAGGCCCAACCCUGUUCCUGGGGAACUACCGUCCUGUUCCUGGGGAACUGCCGUCCUGUUCCUGGAGAACUUCCGUCCUGUUCCUGGAGCUACCCCCUUGUUUCUGGAGAACUGCUACCCUGUUCCUGGAACUAUCACCCUGUUCCUGGAGAACUACCAUCCUGUUCCUGGGGAACUGCCACCCUGUUCCUGGGGAACUGCCACCCUGUUCCUGGGGAACUGCCACCCUGUUCCUGGGGAACUGCCACCCUGUUCCUGGAGAACUACCACCCUGUUCCUGGAGAACUAUCAUUCUGUUCUUGGAGAACUGCCGUCCUGUUCCUGGAACUACCAUUCUGUUCCUGGACAGCUACCGCCCUGUUCCUGGAGAACCGCCGUCGUGUUCCUGGAGAACCGCCGUCGUGUUCCUGGAGAACCGCCGUCAUGUUCCUGGAGAACCGCCGUCGUGUUCCUGGAGAACCGCCGUCGUGUUCCUGGAGGACCACCGUCGUGUUCCUGGAGAACUAACAUCCUAUUCCUGGAGAUCUACUGUCCUGUCCCUGGAACUACCAUUCUAUUCCUGGAGAACUACCGCCCUGGUCCUAGAACAAGCAUUCUGUUUCUGGAGAACUACUAUACAGUUCCCGUGGGAACUAACGCCCUGUUCCUUCCGUCCUGUUCCCCGGGGAACUACUGUCCUGUCCUGGAAAACUACCGUCCUGUAGAUUGUCUCUCAAACACUAAUUUAGCACACCUAAUCAGGUUAGUCACAACUGGGAUUGGAGAGAAUCUACAGGAUGCUAGAUGCCCAAGAGCAGAAUUGGGCAACCCUGGCACUGCUUACUUGUUGUAGAUGUUUUCUUUGUUACACGCUUUCUUUAAUUAUGUCUGCGACUGACUGCAUGCCAA